rnacentral:rRNA from 1 species
UAUCUGGUUGAUUCUGCCAGUAGUCAUAUGCUUGUCUCAAAGAUUAAGCCAUGCAUGUCUAAGUAUAAGCAAUCUAUACUGUGAAACUGCGAAUGGCUCAUUAAAUCAGUUAUCGUUUAUUUGAUAGUACCUUACUACAUGGAUACCUGUGGUAAUUCUAGAGCUAAUACAUGCUAAAAACCCCGACUUCGGGAGGGGUGUAUUUAUUAGAUAAAAAACCAAUGCCCCUCGGGGCUCCUUGGUGAUUCAUAAUAACUUAACGAAUCGCAUGGCCUUGCGCCGGCGAUGGUUCAUUCAAAUUUCUGCCCUAUCAACUUUCGAUGGUAGGAUAGUGGCCUACCA